rnacentral:rRNA from 1 species
UACGUAGGGCGCAAGCGUUGUCCGGAAUUAUUGGGCGUAAAGAGCUCGUAGGCGGUCUGUUACGUCCGCUGUGAAAACCCAGGGCUUAACCCUGGGCUUGCAGUGGAUACGGGUAGACUAGAGGCAGGUAGGGGAGAAUGGAAUUCCCGGUGUAGCGGUGAAAUGCGCAGAUAUCGGGAGGAACACCGGUGGCGAAGGCGGGUCUCUGGGCCGAUACUGACGCUGAGGAGCGAAAGCGUGGGGAGCGAACAGG